rnacentral:rRNA from 1 species
UACAGAGGUCUCAAGCGUUGUUCGGAUUCAUUGGGCGUAAAGGGUGCGUAGGUGGCGGGGUUAGUCAGGUGUGAAAUCUCGGGGCUCAACCCCGAAACUGCACUUGAUACUGCCUUGCUAGAGUACUGGAGAGGAGAUUGGAAUUUACGGUGUAGCAGUGAAAUGCGUAGAUAUCGGAAGGAAGACCAGUGGCGAAGGCGAAUCUCUGGACAGUUACUGACACUGAGGCACGAAGGCCAGGGGAGCAAACGGG